CUAACCUCGUUGAUUGGAACUUAAUUGGAGCUCAAAUGAAGAACAUCAAACAUACUAUUGGAACCGGCCAGGAUCCUCCACUGCUGUCAUGAACUGAUAGCUUUCGGUUUCUUGUUGCAUGAAAUUAUUGGAGCUAAUACAAUGUGCUUAUGCCGAUGAAUGUAUGAGAGAACAAAUCAUGGUUUCGUCCUGUGUAUCUAAAGCAUCGGGUAAGAAAAUAUAGAUAGAAACGAAUAUGAGCAUUAGGAAAAGGGCAAUAAAUUCUGGUUGGCCCGAAUGACAAUUUAAAAGAUUGGGACUAAGCAAUAAGUCAUCUUAGUGCUUUCUUUAUACUCGUGUACAUAAAUACACUUGUGUUACACAUUUUAUUCAAAAGCAUCUAUUCUAUUA